rnacentral:rRNA from 1 species
GAUGAACGCUGGCGGCGUGCCUAAUACAUGCGAGUCGAGCGAACGGACGAGAAGCUUGCUUCUCUGAUGUUAGCGGCGGACGGGUGAGUAACACGUGGAUAACCUACCUAUAAGACUGGGAUAACUUCGGGAAACCGGAGCUAAUACCGGAUAAUAUUUUGAACCGCAUGGUUCAAAAGUGGAAGACGGUCUUGCUGUCACUUAUAGAUGGAUCCGCGCUGCAUUAGCUAGUUGGUAAGGUAACGGCUUACCAAGGCAACGAUGCAUAGCCGACCUGAGAGGGUGAUCGGCCACACUGGAACUGAGACACGGUCCAGACUCCUACGGGAGGCAGCAGUAGGGAAUCUUCCGCAAUGGGCGAAAGCCUGACGGAGCAACGCCGCGUGAGUGAUGAAGGUCUUCGGAUCGUAAAACUCUGUUAUUAGGGAAGAACAUAUGUGUAAGUAACUGUGCACAUCUUGACGGUACCUAAUCAGAAAGCCACGGCUAACUACGUG